CAAUAAGAGUGUUUAUGGCACUCUUCCAAAAAAUCCAUACCCACCUUGUGUGCAACGUAAGAAGAAAGAAACGCAGGUCGCGGGGGGAAAAGCUGGCAACAGCAAAGAAGCCCAAGACUCGUCUUUUUUUCUUUUCCACAUACACCUUUCUACAAGUUCCUAUUGUCUGAAGCUGUUAGAGAAUGACUAAUUCUUAAACA
rnacentral:misc_RNA from 1 species